CCUACGGGUGGCAGCAGUGGGGAAUAUUGCACAAUGGGGGGAACCCUGAUGCAGCGACGCCGCGUGAGUGAAGAAGUAUUUCGGUAUGUAAAGCUCUAUCAGCAGGGAAGAAAAUGACGGUACCUGACUAAGAAGCCCCGGCUAACUACGUGCCAGCAGCCGCGGUAAUACGUAGGGGGCAAGCGUUAUCCGGAUUUACUGGGUGUAAAGGGAGCGCAGACGGCUGUGCAAGUCUGGAGUGAAAGGCGGGGGCACAACCCCCGGACUGCUCUGGAAACUGUAAAGCUGGAGUGCAGGAGAGGUAAGCGGAAUUCCUAGUGUAGCGGUGAAAUGCGUAGAUAUUAGGAGGAACACCAGUGGCGAAGGCGGCUUACUGGACUGCAACUGACGUUGAGGCUCGAAAGCGUGGGGAGCAAACAGGAUUAGAUACCCUAGUAGUC
rnacentral:rRNA from 1 species